rnacentral:lncRNA from 1 species
UUUGCAUUUCUUCAGCAGUGCUGCUUUCGUCACCGUCCGGAGGGAUAAGAAAGUGUGGGUCAACGGGAUCCCAUCCACCCUCCCAGCUCAAAUCUCGGACCACCUCUCCAUCCGCGAAUCCCAAAACCUCAUUUCCAUCACCCAAACCCCCCACCUGGAGGUGACCCUCAGCCCCACGGGGGAGGUGACGGUGACGGUGAAGAAGGAGCUGAGCAAGGAGUUGUGUGGGGUCUGCGGGAAUUACGACGGCGACGCAGCCAACGACCUCCGGGAUCCCGAUGGGAAAUUGGUGACGGAUUUCGUGGCCAUGAUGAAGGCCUGGAGAGCACCCGACUUCACCCCUGUGAGUGUCCACAGUAGGGGGGGUCAUCUGGUUUUGGAGGGGGAUUUGGGGUGAUAUUUGUGUUUCUUUUGGGGUGGAGGUCGUUGUUGUUCCUAUAGGGCUGCCAUCUUGGGGAAGCGUCCAUCCAUUGGUUCCGUCCCUUUCUAUCAACUCAAAAUCUUGAUUCUACUAAAUUUGUGGGGGAAAAGAGUAGGAUUUGGGGUGAUAUUUGUGUUUCUUUUGGGGUGGAGGGGGAUGUGGAUGGAGGGGGAUGUGGUCCCAUCUUGGUUGUCCCUAUAGGGUCUGGUUGUCCCUAUAGGGCCGCCGUGUUGAGGAAGCAUCCAUCCAUUGGUUCCAUCCCUUUGUAUUGACCCAAAACCUUUACUCUCCUAAAUUUGUGGGAGAAAAGAGUAGGAUUUGGGGUGAUAUUUGUGUUUCUUUUGGGGUGGAGGUCGUUGUUGUUCCUAUAGGGCUGCCAUCUUGGGGAAGCAUCCAUCCAUUGGUUCCAUCCCUUUCUAUCGACUCAAAAUCUUGAUUGUACUAAAUUUGUGGGGGAAAAGAGUAGGAUUUGGGGUGAUAUUUGUGUUUCUUUUGGGAUGGAGGGGGAUGUGGAUGGAGGGGGAUGUGGUCCCAUCUUGGUUGUCCCUAUAGGGUCUGGUUAUCCCUUAUAGGGCCGCUAUGUUGGGGUGGUGUCCAUUCAUUGGUUCCAUCCCUUCAUAUUGACCCAAAAUCUUGAUUCUACUAAACUUGUGGGAGAAAAUAGUAGGAUUUGGGGUGAUAUUUGUGUUUCUUUUGGGGUGGAGGUGGUUGUUGUUCCUAUAGGGCUGCCAUCUUGGGGUGGUGUCCGUCCAUUGGUUCCAUCCCUUCAUAUUGACCCAAAACCUUGAUUCUACUAAAUUUGUGGGAGAAAAGAGUAGGAUUUGGGGUGAUAUUUGUGUUUCUUUUGGGAUGGAGGUCGUUGUUGUUCCUAUAGGGCUGCCAUCUUGGGGAAGCGUCCGUCCAUUGGUUCCAUCCCUUCGUAUUGACCCAAAAUCUUGAAUCUACUAAAUUUGUGUGAGAAAAGAGUAGGAUUUGG